AUGUGCCUGAACCUUGAACUUAUUUCUUUCGGGUUUCAUCUCUAGCCUACCCCAACUUGCUUGGGAAAAAAGGCUAUGUUGUUGUUGUUGUUGUUGUAUGAAAAGAUGUUAUUUGCUCUCUGAUUUCAGUUCAUGUUGUAUAUGGGAUCCACAUGACCACAUUCUGGUCAUAAUUUUUAUUGUUCUGAAUAUUGAUAUUUCAUUACACGGAUGCAAAGCUUGUAACAGAAAGGCAUGGUACUCAUAAAAAAUUUCUGCAGUUGUCGAUGGUAACAAUAGUAUCGAAAUUAAUAGAAUUGACAUCUCAUUUUCCCCCGAAAGCAGAUGUCUUGUAAAAUAUAGUCACUUGGUUAGUGGGUCUAUUGAGAAGUAUAAUAGCGCUCCACCUUUGAAAGGUGCAUUGUUUCGACAUCUUUUGUUAUCUAUGGACUUUCUGGGAGGAUCACAGCUUCUGUCUUUAUGUUAUUUGUGUUGCAGUUGGUCAGGGUAUUGGAUGAAAGCAGUGGCUGUACAUGGUCAUCCAAGAAAAGGCCUAAUGAUCAACUUGUUAUCCACUUAUUUUUGCUACUAAGUAUGAAAGCUUGAAACUGUGAGGAAUCUUCCAUGCGCACAGCCCACUGAUGAAGGGGGGUUACAGGGUUGUGAUGCAAGAACCCAUCAUCCGUCUUGGUCAUCCAUAAUCUUGAAAAGUACUUUUUCAAUCACAAGAUGCUGUUUUUUCUAUGAUGCGUCUUUCUUGAGCUUUAUGGACUGUAUCCCGUGAAUAAGCUGAAAUAUAUUUAUGAUAAAAAAUAUUAGCUGAUCAUAUAGUUUUUG